rnacentral:rRNA from 1 species
UACAGAGGGUGCAAGCGUUGUUCGGAAUUAUUGGGCGUAAAGCGCGUGUAGGCGGCUUUGCAAGUCGGGUGUGAAAGCCCUCAGCUCAACUGAGGAAGUGCGCCCGAAACUGCAGAGCUUGAAUACCGGAGAGGAUGGCGGAAUUCCCCAAGUAGAGGUGAAAUUCGUAGAUAUGGGGAGGAACACCGGUGGCGAAGGCGGCCAUCUAGACGGCUAUUGACGCUGAGACGCGAAAGCGUGGGGAGCAAACAGG